GUGCCUGUGCUGCCCCGGAUCCUCGCUCUCUGGCCCCCUUCCUGGCACACAGCUCUCUCUGCGAGGGACGCGGCCACCCUCUGUCCCUGUCCCCUCCGCAGAAGGAGGGAGGCGCCGCUGCCUGCGGGGCCAGAGAGGGUGAAGCCAGUGCCAAGCGCCCCCGCAAGCCGCGCUCCAGAUCCCCCGUCACCAUCCCUCAGUGCGCGCAGUCCCCGCUCCCAGCGCGCCACGUUCUCCACCUGCCCGGAGCGCCCCAACGUCCCUGCUUCCAGAGAGCAGUUCCCUGAGUCCCGGCAGCCCCCCUCCGUCCUCUUCUCCCCCAAAGUCCGAGGAAGUCGAACUCAGAGCGGCCGGUCGGCUCGCCGAGGCGGCGGACAGUUGCUGCGAGAGCGCGGCGCGGAGCGAGACUGCGCGCAGCGCCCGGGGUCUCGCCCCAGAGGGCUGGCUCUGCACGCCCGGAGGCCGAAGUCCCGAACCCCACAAGCCGGGCCCGACCUGAGCCCUCUGCGUUACCUGGCACGGCCGGCGACUCUCCGGAGACCUUCGGUCCUGCCUGCUUCUGGGCGGGCGUCCAGCUCACAUCGCUGCUUUCCCCGCCGGGCGGCUGGUGUCCCUCUGGGUUCGUUCGGCCCCUGCUCGCGGCGCUGUCCCCGCCCCCCACCCCCCUGCCCCUCUGUCAGAAAUGUCACAGCUUUUCUGCCUUCGGAUGUUUCGCAAAGUCUCUGUGCGGUCACCAGGAGUUGGGGGGCACUGGCAGGUGCCCCAACCCCGCCGCCGCCCUGCCCUGCCCUUUCGCGGCGCCCUGCGUUCAGCCUGUCCGUGACAUCAAUGAUUGACAACAAGAGAGCACACUGUUCUGAGCUGUCUUUGAGUACUCUCCUGAUUUCCUUCUCUGCUUUGACAGGAUUACUGGGAUGGAGUCAAAGAUUGAUCACAUUUAUGUUAUUGAGGAUGAAUCACCCUUCUGAUAUCUGA
rnacentral:lncRNA from 1 species